rnacentral:rRNA from 1 species
CACGUAGGGGGCGAGCGUUGUUCGGAAUUACUGGGCGUAAAGGGCAUGUAGGCGGUUUUGUAAGCCUGACGUGAAAGGCUAUGGCUCAACCAUGGCACUGCGGUGGGAACUGCGAGACUUGAAUCAUGGAGAGGGAGCUGGAAUUCCAGGUGUAGGGGUGAAAUCUGUAGAUAUCUGGAAGAACACCAGUGGCGAAGGCGAGUUCCUGGCCGAUGAUUGACGCUGAGGUGCGAAAGUGUGGGGAUCAAACAGGAUUAGAGACCCUGGUAGUCCACACUGUCAACGAUGUUCACUAGGUGCUGGGGCGGAUGUUUCAGUGCCGGAGCUAACGCGGUAAGUGCACCGCCUGGGGAGUAUGCUCGCAAGGGUGAA